AGGUUCUGUGCUUCUUUAAAACCUCGCCGGUCGACCACCUGCAAGCCUGGAGGGCUGUGGUCCUUUGAACGCCUUGUCGCCUUGCUGGAGUUGGUGAGGGGCUCCCACCAUCCGCAUGUGGCCGGCUGCACGCAAGCAAGAGACGCCAAGAGUGGUGAGUGGACUCUGAGUCCUAUGUGAACCAGUUAUGUAAACGAAGGACCACGAGAGCGCCGCCUCCCUGUGUGCCGCCAUCCGUCCAGAAAUGCAGUUGGCAGCAGAAGCCCGGCCGGGGGCCAGCGCCACUCACCCACUGCCCAGUGCGUGGGCAGAUUCUUUACCACUGAACCACCAGGGAAGCCCAGGAAGUGUCUCUAGGUGUGAGGAAUCCAGACCCCGAAGGGAUCAUCCAGAGAUUGCAUUCAUACUUGAAUGGCGUUCCUCCUCCUCUUUAAAAAACUUUUCUUGACAUCUUCAAAGUGCUUUUCUUUUCCCCAGUGUUGCUACUGGGCUAUCACACUCCCUUUCCUCUCCAAUCCAUACCAACUGCUUCUCCCUCAGCUUCAGCGUAAAGGAUCAAACCACCGGACAGGCCGCCUGCCGCCAGGGGGCGUGGUGGGCAUGGUGAAGUAGAAGUUCCGCUGGAGAGACUAGCCACCCAGUUUUACUUACCCAGAUGCCAAAGGUAAUUCCUGUUUGAUCAACAACAUCCAGAAAUAAGAGAUCCAGCCUGUGUGACAGGCCCGCAGUCCCCUGUCCUGAAAGUGCCUGGGUGGCACAGGUUACACCACUUGGCUCCCACCACCCCAUGAAGGACUAUGGGACCCUCUUUCAUUGUCUUAGCCGGGUGAGAUUCAGCAGCUGCCUUUUAUUGUCACUGAGCCAGGCAAACAUACCGCUGUGGACGAAAAGUAGGGCUGAGGUGAGGAAAGAAAGCAGUGGAGUGUGGCCAGGUGGUCACUGUGAGGCAGGAAGUGGGGUCCAAGGGCCCAUCUGUUCUAAAGUCAACCCUUCUACCCACCUUGCAUGAGCUGCUCCUGUGAGUGGUGCCAAGGACAGUAAGGAGAAAGAUACAACAUUAAACUAUUUUUAGAGAUUAUUCUCUGAGAUGACAGCUGAUGUUAAAACCAAUAGCAGGGGGAUGGGGGUGGGGACUUCCCUGGUGGCCCAGUGGCUAUGACACUGCAC
ensembl:lncRNA